AUCUACAACCUAAACCUCCUAAAGACACCAGAUCCUGUUCGAUUUUAAAAGUGGAGGAGGAUCUGCUGUGGUCAGUACUUGGAUGGGAAACUAUCAAUAAAAACCAGGUGCUGUAAACU
rnacentral:rRNA from 11 species